rnacentral:rRNA from 1 species
CUGCCGUACGGGUCCGUCGGGAAAUCCGCCCGCUCAACGGGCGGACGUCCGGCGGAAACCAUAUGGCUUGGGACCAGAGGACCCGAGGGGUACGUCGGGGGUAGGAGUGAAAUCCCGAGAUCCUCGACGGACCGCCGGUGGCGAAAGCGCCUCGGGAAGAUGGAUCCGACGGUCAGGGACGAAAGCUUGGGUCUCGAACCGGAUUAGAUACCCGGGUAGUCCAAGCUGUAAACGAUGCUCGCUAGGUGUGGCGUAGGCUACGAGCCUGCGCUGUGCCAAAGGGAAGCCACGAAGCGAGCCGCCUGGGAA